UAGGGAAUCUUCCGCAAUGGACGCAAGUCUGACGGAGCAACGCCGCGUGAGUGAAGAAGGAUUUCGGUUCGUAAAACUCUGUUGUUAGAGAAGAACAGCGCAUAGAGUAACUGUUAUGCGUGUGACGGUAUCUAACCAGAAAGCCACGGCUAACUACGUGCCAGCAGCCGCGGUAAUACGUAGGUGGCAAGCGUUGUCCGGAUUUAUUUGGCGUAAAGCGAGCGCAGGCGGUCAAUUAAGUCUGAUGUGAAAGCCCCCGGCUCAACCGGGGAGGGUCAUUGGUGACUGGUUGACUUGAGUGCAGAAGAGGAGAGUGGAAUUCCAUGUGUAGCGGUGAGAUGCGUAGAUAAAUGGAGGAAAUCCAGUGGCGAAGGCGACUCUCUGGUCUGUAACUGACGCUGAGGCUCGAAAGCGUGGGUAGCGAUCAGG
rnacentral:rRNA from 1 species